AUUGAACGCUGGCGGCAGGCCUAACACAUGCAAGUCGAGCGAGCGGCGGACGGGUGAGUAAUGUAUGGGGACUGCCCGAUAGAGGGGGAUAACUACUGGAAACGGUGGCUAAUACCGCAUACUAACGGAUAACCCAUAUGGGAUUAGCUAGUAGGUGGGGUAAAGGCUCACCUAGGCGACGAUCCAUAGCUUGACUGAGAGGAUGAACAGCCAACCUGGGACUGAGCGACGGACCAGACUCCUACGGAGGCAGCAGUGGGGAAUAUUGCACAAUGGGCGCAAGCCUGAUGCAGCCAUGCCGCGUGUCUGAAGAAGGCCUUAGAGUUGUAAAGUACUUUCAUCGGAGAGGCGUUCCCCGCAUAAGAAGCACCGGCUAACUCCGUGCCAGCAGCCGCGGUAAUAC
rnacentral:rRNA from 1 species